rnacentral:rRNA from 1 species
CAGUAGCCGCGGGAAUACGUAGGUGGCAAGCGUUGUCCGGAAUUAUUGGGCGUAAAGGGCUCGCAGGCGGUUUCUUAAGUCUGAUGUGAAAGCCCCCGGCUCAACCGGGGAGGGUCAUUGGAAACUGGGAAACUUGAGUGCAGAAGAGGAGAGCGGAAUUCCACGUGUAGCGGUGAAAUGCGUAGAGAUGUGGAGGAACACCAGUGGCGAAAGCGACUCUCUGGUCUGUAACUGACGCUGAGGAGCGAAAGCGUGGGGAGCGAACAGGAUUAGAUACCCCGGUAGUCCCUGUCUCUUAUAC